GAUGAACGCUGGCGGCGUGCCUAAUACAUGCAAGUCGAGCGAACAGUCUAUGCGCUUGCUUCUCUGACGUUAGCGGCUGACGUGUGAGUAACUCGUGGAUACCCUACCUAUCUGACUGGUAUCACUUCGGGAAUCCUGAGCUCAUUCCGUAUUACCUCUUGAUCCUCAUGGUUCCAUCGUGAAUGACGGUCUUGCUGUCUCUUAUCGCUGCCUCCGGGCCGCAUUAUCUAGUUGGUAAGUUAACGGCUUACCAAGGCAACGAUGCGUAGCCGACAUGAGAGGGGGAGCGGCCACACGGGAACGGAGACACGGACCAGACGCCGACGGGAGGCAGCAGUAGGGAAUAUUCCGAAAAGGGCGAAAUCCUGACGGAGCAACGCCGCGUGAGGGAAGAAGGUCUUCGGAGCGUAAAACUCUGUUAUUAGGGAAGAAAAAAAGGGGAAGGAAAAAUGCACGGAGUGACGGUACCUAAUCAGAAAGCCACGGCUAACUACGUG
rnacentral:rRNA from 1 species